CCUGCCUAAAACAACUAGUAGAGAAGAUUUGAUAUUGAUGAAAAGGGUGUUGUUAGAGGGCAUGACAUUGUAUUUGGUACAAUGUUGAGAUUUCAAACUUCCCCAAUCAACUUUAUUCCAUGCAAUUCGAAGGAGAGGCAGAAGUUGUAUCAUGGGAAGUGGCCAUCGUUAGUAGGACUCAUGCCAAUAGGGAUUUAAGUUGACAAAUAUUCUGUUUGAGUCAAGAAAAGCCUCGCCCAGGUGUUGUUGAAGUGAGUGACUACUGACUAGUAAUGGCUGAUUAAAGUGGAAGACCUCCUCCUCAUUUUAGGCCCAGGAGGAAAACUGAAUGCUGC
rnacentral:lncRNA from 1 species